rnacentral:rRNA from 1 species
AUGCACCAGCAACACAACAGCCUGUUUACAUGCAGCCUGGAGCCCCCCUGGCACUAUAACCAACAGCAGCAACCCCAACAACAACAGUAUGCCACUGGAACUGCUGCACCUGCUGAUGCUAGUAGCUACAAUUACAGCCAGUCUGCUACUCAUGCUUCACAAGGGUAUGGUGAUUCUACGUACUCUCAGCAGAGUGGCGGGCAGCAAGCUUAUGAUUACUCUGGUUAUCAGACCCAAGGGCUGUCUUACUCGCAGCAGCCUGGAUAUGACCAGCACGACUAUGGGGCAUCGAUCAGCUGCUAA